ACUGGUUCUUGGUUAGACGGGAUUCCUUCUCUGGCAGACAUUGAAGAAGGAAAUUUAUUAGUACAUGAUUUCAGUAAUCUAGAGGUUUCUGAAUCGGAAGGCGAAAGUGAUUAAGGGGAAAUAUUGAGGUCUCUAUGGUGAUUUCGGAUUCUAACCCUUGCUAUGAAGACGCACAUAUGAGGCUUGCUGCAGUACUUUUAAUGUUGCUAUUGAGUCCAACUGAGUGUUAUGUUUGUUUCCUGGUCUUUUCUUUCUUCUGUCAUGAUCCUGUUCAUGCCUGAACAUUUGAAAGAUGAGAAAUAAGUGGACUGUGGUUGUGCUACU